GAUGAACGCUGGCGGCGUGCCUAAUACAUGCAAGUCGAGCGAACAGACGAGGAGCUUGCUCCUCUGACGUUAGCGGCGGACGGGUGAGUAACACGUGGAUAACCUACCUAUAAGACUGGGAUAACUUCGGGAAACCGGAGCUAAUACCGGAUAAUAUAUUGAACCGCAUGGUUCAAUAGUGAAAGACGGUUUUGCUGUCACUUAUAGAUGGAUCCGCGCCGCAUUAGCUAGUUGGUAAGGUAACGGCUUACCAAGGCGACGAUGCGUAGCCGACCUGAGAGGGUGAUAGGCCACACUGGAACUGAGACACGGUCCAGACUACUACGGGAGGCAGCAGUAGGGAAUCUUCCGCAAUGGGCGAAGGCCUGACGGAGCAACGCCGCGUGAGUGAUGAAGGUCUUCGGAUCGUAAAACUCUGUUAUUAGGGAAGAACAAAUGUGUAAGUAACUAUGCACGUCUUGACGGUAACUAAUCAGAAAGCCACGGCUAACUACGUG
rnacentral:rRNA from 1 species